rnacentral:rRNA from 1 species
CAGCCGUAAACUAUGCGCGUUAGGUGUAUCGGUGACCACGAGUCACCGAGGUGCCGAAGGGAAACCGUGAAACGUGCCGCCUGGGAAGUACGGUCGCAAGGCUGAAACUUAAAGGAAUUGGCGGGGGAGCACCGCAACGGGUGGAGCCUGCGGUUUAAUUGGACUCAACGCCGGGAAGCUCACCGGAUAAGACAGCGGAAUGAUUGCCGGGCUGAAGACUCUGCAUGACUAGCUGAGAGGAGGUGCAUGGCGUAGACGUCU